rnacentral:other from 1 species
AGGUCCCUGCGCGGUUGGUGAUGAGUAAGACUAUCGUUGAACCAACACCUAUUUGAAGGGCUGCCGCGUUCCUCCAUUCGGAGGCUCGCCGCACGGUGGGAGAAGGGUGGAGGACAGGCGCCCACCUGUGGUUUCGCAGGUUCAAAUAGGAUUGCUCACACGGCCGAAGCGGGGACCUC